GACGAACGCUGGCGGCGUGCUUAACACAUGCAAGUCGAACGAUGAAGCUGGAGCUUGCCCUGGCGGAUUAGUGGCGAACGGGUGAGUAACACGUGAGAAAUCUGCCCUUGACUCUGGGAUAACUGCGGGAAACUGUAGCUAAUACCGGAUACUUUCCCUGGUGGGCAUCCACUGGGGAAGAAAGAAUUUCGGUCAAGGAUGAUCUCGCGGCCUAUCAGCUUGUUGGUGAGGUAAUGGCUCACCAAGGCGACGACGGGUAGCCGGCCUGAGAGGGUGACCGGCCACACUGGGACUGAGACACGGCCCAGACUCCUACGGGAGGCAGCAGUGGGGAAUAUUGCACAAUGGGCACAAGCCUGAUGCAGCAACGCCGCGUGAGGGAUGAAGGCCUUCGGGUUGUAAACCUCUUUUAGCAGGGAAGAAGCGAAAGUGACGGUACCUGCAGAAAAAGCACCGGCUAACUACGUGCCAGCAGCCGCGGUAA
rnacentral:rRNA from 1 species